rnacentral:rRNA from 1 species
AUGGCGGGGGCCGCGCGGGGCCGGCGGUGCCGGGGCGCGGUGCUGCUGCUGCUCGUCGCGUCCGUGCUCGCGCCCCUCGUGCUCUACGGCCGCUCCCCCGUCCCGUACCUCCCGGACUCCACCGUGGCGAGGGGCGCGUUCGAUCGGGGCGACGGGUCCGGCUCCAAUCUGGUGUGGCCGCAAAUGGCCGCGUCCGAGGUUUCUCUCGCCAAAGAUUUGACAAUUGAGAGGCUAGGGGAGCACAAGAACCGGGUGCUGUCAGCGACUGACGACUGGCAAGCAGUUGAGGUAGCCAGGAGCCAUCCAUCAGAAAAGAAAAUUGAUACCUGGGAGGACCCUGUGUCGCGAGAUGCUGAUCAGGUGGUUGCUGUGGGAAAUGACAGUGCUCAGUCUACACAGGAUGGCAUGAUAAAGGAAGUUGUUAGCACCGACGGACGAGCAGAUGGAUUUCGUGAUCCCGGCGAUAGCAGGGUAGCUGAAGAGCAGGACGGACAAGGGAUGGAUGAAAAAGAGUUGCAGGAUGCAACUGAGCUAGAGCACAAAGAUGGAUCUGGCGCAUCUGAGAAUAACAUUGCUGGAACAGAUACUGCUGGAAAUCUGACAUCGUCUUUGAAUAAGGAAAGCAUUGCUGAUACAUCAUCUGAUCAAACUACACAUGCUAGUGCCAAUGCUGAUCUCGCCACAUUAGUGAGUAGCACUGAUCAUUCCGCAACUUCCCCAGAUGCUACAAUCCGCAUCAUCAAGGAUCAAUUGAUAAGAGCAAAGACAUAUCUUGGUGUUCUAGCUUCUAGAGGAAAUCAUGGUACCGCCAAGGAGUUACGUGCACGAAUGAAGGAUAUCCAACGAGCACUUGGUGGUGCAACCGAUGAUGGGAUGCUUCCUCAGAAUGUCCAUGGCAAAAUAAAAGCGAUGGAGCAGACGCUGGGUAGGAUCAAGAGAAUGCAUGAUGGUUGCUCAGGUGCUGUGAACAAGCUCCGUACAAGCCUUCACUCAACAGAGGAGCGUCUUCAAUCUCACAGAAAAGAUGCCAACUAUCUAGCUCAACUAGCAGCAAAAUCUUUACCCAAAGGACUCCAUUGUCUCCCAUUGCGGCUUACAAAUGAAUAUUAUUCCAGCAACUCCAACAAUAAGGAUUUUCCAAAUACGGAAAAGUUGGAAGACCCUCAACUCCAUCACUAUGCUGUUUUCUCAGAUAAUGUAUUGGCUGCUGCAGUGGUUGUGAACUCCACUCUUGUUCAUGCUAAGAAACCAGCAAACCAUGUCUUCCACAUUGUGACAGAUAGGCUUAACUACGCUGCAAUGAAGAUGUGGUUCUUGGCUAAUCCCUUGGGUGAAGCUGCGGUUCAGGUUCAGAACAUUGAAGAGUUUACCUGGCUGAACUCAAGCUACAGCCCAGUUCUGAAGCAGUUGGAAUCCAGUUCGAUGAUUGAUUACUACUUCGGGAGUGGGAAGGCUAGGCCGGGUGAAAAUCCCAAAUUCCGGAACCCAAAAUACCUGUCGAUUCUCAAUCAUCUGAGGUUCUAUCUCCCUGAGAUAUUCCCGAAGCUUAACAAGGUGUUAUUUCUAGACGAUGAUACCGUGGUGCAGCAGGACCUAAGUGCGCUUUGGUCGAUAGAUCUCAAAGGCAAGGUCAAUGGUGCUGUUGAGACCUGUGGAGAGAGCUUCCACAGGUUUGAUAAAUACCUCAACUUCUCCAAUCCUCUAAUUGCCAGCAAUUUUAAUCCACACGCUUGCGGUUGGGCAUAUGGCAUGAACAUGUUUGAUUUGUCGGAGUGGAGAAAGCAAAACAUCACCGACGUCUACCACACCUGGCAGAACCUGAAUGAAGACAGGCUACUAUGGAAGCUAGGCAGCCUCCCUGCAGGCCUUGUGACGUUCUGGAACCGCACUUUCCCCCUCGAUCGCUCGUGGCAUCUAUUGGGGCUCGGGUACAACCCAAACGUGAACGAGAAGGAGAUCAGGCGGGCAUCCGUCAUUCACUACAAUGGGAACCUGAAACCCUGGCUUGAGAUCGGACUGUCGAAAUACCGAAAAUACUGGUCGCGGCAUGUCAAUUACGAUCAAGUGUUCAUACGGGAGUGCAAUAUAAACCCCUGA